GGGGUAGCUCUGGUUGAGUGCAUGCCCUGCAUGUAUGAUGUCCUGGGUUCAAUCCCCAGGUUCUCCCCA